GUGAUGCAUCCAGAACACCUCUACUACGGAUCCUUCCCCUCACUCUGAUGCAUCCAGAACACCCAGAACGGAUCCUUCCCCUCACUCUGAUGCAUCCAGAACACCUCUACUACGGAUCCUUCCCCUCACUCUGAUGCAUCCAGAACACCCAGAGCGGAUCCUUCCCUUCACUCUGAUGCAUCCAGAACACCCAGAACGGAUCCUUCCCCUCACUCUGAUGCAUCCAGAACACCCAGAACGGAUCCUUCCCUUCACUCUGAUGCAUCCAGAACACCCAGAACGGAUCCUUCCCCUCACUGUGAUGCAUCCAGAACACCCAGAACGGAUCCUUCCCCUCACUGUGAUGCAUCCAGAACACCCAGAGCGGAUCCUUCCCCUCACUGUGAUGCAUCCAGAACACCCAGAACAGAUCCUUCCCCUCACUGUGAUGCAUCCAGAACACCCAGAACGGAUCCUUCCCCUCACUGCGAUGCAUCCAGAACACCCAGAACGGAUCUUUCCCCUCACUCUGAUGCAUCCAGAACACCCAGAACGGAUCCUUCCCCUCACUCUGAUGCAUCCAGAACACCUCUACUACGGAUCCUUCCUCUCACUCUGAUGCAUCCAGAACACCCAGAACGGAUCCUUCCCUUCACUCUGAUGCAUCCAGAACACCCAGAACGGAUCCUUCCCUUCACUCUGAUGCAUCCAGAACACCCAGAACGGAUCCUUCCCCUCACUCUGAUGCAUCCAGAACACCCAGAACGGAUCCUUCCCCUCACUCUGAUGCAUCCAGAACACCCAGAACGGAUCCUUCCCCUCACUCUGAUGCAUCCAGAACACCCAGAACGGAUCCUUCCCCUCACUGUGAUGUCCAAUCUUCAAAAACAAAGAAGACAACAGCUGCCAGUGUUUUAGCAUGUUGUAGAACAAGCACUGUUCUGAAUGAUAUCAAUUGUCUUUUCUUGUGACAGAUUCAAGAUAAUACAGAAUAAUACAGGUAGUCUACUGGUAAAUUAAUACAGAAUAAUACAGGUAGUCUACUGGUAAAUUAAUACAGAAUAAUACAGGUAGCCUACUGGUAAAUUAAUACAGAAUAAUACAGGUAGCCUACUGGUAAAUUAAUACAGAAUAAUACAGGAAGCCUACUGGUAAAUUAAUACAGAAUAAUACAGGAAGCCUACUGGUAAAUUAAUACAGAAUAAUACAGGAAGCCUACUAGUAAAUUAAUACAGAAUAAUACAGGAAGCCUACUGGUAAAUUAAUACAGAAUAAUACAGGUAGCCUACUGGUAAAUUAAUACAGAAUAAUACAAGUAGCCUACUGGUAAAUUAAUACAGAAUAAUACAGGUAGUCUACUGGUAAAUUAAUACAGAAUAAUACAGGAAGCCUACUGGUAAAUUAAUACAGAAUAAUACAGGUAGCCUACUGGUAAAUUAAUACAGAAUAAUACAAGUAGCCUACUGGUAAAUUAAUACAGAAUUAAUACAGGAAGCCUACUGGUAAAUUAAAGUGUAUCUAUUUGAAAAAGCAGGCGAAGGCUCAAUGUUCAAGACUGUGUUGUGAAUGAUGCUUAUAUUUUUCUCGUUGUGUUUUGUUGGCCUGGGCGCAUAGCUGGCUAUUGGGCAAUUUGCAUGUAAGUGUAGUACUGUAUUGUACAUGAGGUGAGUUGCUGUUUUUAAUAUUAUAUGAUGAUGUUUAACAAUGAUAAUUAAAUCAAGAAUAGUGGCA